rnacentral:rRNA from 1 species
GUGUCAGCCGCCGCGGUAAGACGAGGGAUCCUAGCGUUGCUCGGAAUCAUUGGGCGUAAAGCGGGUGUAGGUGGCUUUGUAAGUCAGGUGUGAAAGCCCAGGGCUCAACCCUGGAAGUGCAUUUGAUACUGCGAAGCUUGAGUGUGGGAGAGGCUACUGGAAUACCUGGUGUAGUGGUGAAAUACGUAGAUAUCAGGUGGAACACCGGAGGCGAAGGCGGGUAGCUGGCCCAACACUGACACUCAGACCCGAAAGCGUGGGGAUCAAACAGGAUUAGAUACCCUGGUAGUCC